CUCUCAUCGUCAUAGUAACGGCCAUCAUCAUCAAAAGGAUGUGCGUUCGCAAGAAAGCAAACAUGACUGUGCAGCCUCCAGACGCCGUAGAGGAGCUGAGACGUCCAGAGGAACGAGGCCGGGCUGU